rnacentral:rRNA from 1 species
CCUACGGGAGGCAGCAGUGAGGAAUAUUGGUCAAUGGCCGAGAGGCUGAACCAGCCAAGUCGCGUGAGGGAAGACGGCCCUACGGGUUGUAAACCUCUUUUGUCGGGGAGCAAAGCGAACCACGUGUGGCUCAUUGAGAGUACCCGAUGAAAAAGCAUCGGCUAACUCCGUGCCAGCAGCCGCGGUAAUACGGAGGAUGCGAGCGUUAUCCGGAUUUAUUGGGUUUAAAGGGUGCGCAGGCGGAGGUGCAAGUCAGCGGUAAAAUUGCGGGGCCAAACCCCGUACUGCAGUUGAAACUGGAUGCCUUGAGUGAGUGAGAGGUAUGCGGAAUGCGUGGUGUAGCGGUGAAAUGCAUAGAUAUCACGCAGAACUCCGAUUGCGAAGGCAGCAUACCGGCGCUCAACUGACGCUCAUGCACGAAAGUGUGGGUAUCGAACAGGAUUAGAUACCCGUGUAGUC